UGUUCUCUAAAUAGGGACUUGUAUGAAUGGCCACACGAGGGUUUUACUGUCUYUUACUUCCAAUCAGUGAAAUUGACCUUCCCGUGAAGAGGCGGGAAUAUAUUAAUAAGACGAGAAGACCCUAUGGAGCUUUAACUACUUAGCCCAAAAGAAACAAAUUUCAUUACUAAGGAAACAACAACACUCUUUAUGGGCUAACAGCUUUGGUUGGGGUGACCUCGGAGAACAAGAAAUCCUCCGAGCGAUUUUAAAGACUAGACCUACAAGUCGAAUCACACAAUCGUUUAUUGAUCCAAAAAAAAAUUGAUCAACGGAACAAGUUACCCUAGGGAUAACAGCGCAAUCCUAUUCAAGAGUCCAUAUCGACAAUAGGGUUUACGACCUCGAUGUUGGAUCAGGACAUCCCGAUGGUGCAACCGCUAUCAAAGGUUCGUUUGUUCAACGAUUAAAGU
rnacentral:rRNA from 1 species